UACGAAGGGGCUAGCGUUGCUCGGAAUCACUGGGCGUAAAGGGUGCGUAGGCGGGUCUUUAAGUCAGGGGUGAAAUCCUGGAGCUCAACUCCAGAACUGCCUUGAUACUGAAGAUCUUGAGUUCGGGAGAGGUGAGUGGAACUGCGAGUGUAGAGGGUGAAAAUUCGGUAGAUAUUCGCAAGAACACCAGUGGCGAAGGCGGCUCACUGGCCCGAUACUG
rnacentral:rRNA from 1 species